AACGACAACAAUGAUGCCGCCACCAUCUCCUAUUCCGCGCAGCUUCACUUUCACCGCCCCUCGCCGGCCCAGAUUCCCUUCGCCGGACCAGCUUCCUCUCCUCCGGCGCGACGUCCUUCGCGCCCUUGCACGCGCCCCCACGGUAAUCUUAGGCGCCCUCGGGUCGUCGGCGCUCCUGCGCCUCCGGUUUGUCGGUCCACUAACCCCGCGUCUUCGAAUGCGCGGCUGCGGGCUCGCGCUCCAUGACACUACUCCGCCUCGGCGACCUCUACUCCGACGUCUAUGGUUCAGUAGGCUGCCAUGGUUGCCUACAGCUUACCCGACAACUCACCAAGACUCAUCUCCCCCAAGAAGGUUUACAGAAAAUAUCAAAGAUUCAAAGAUACAAAGCGCCUAGUCCCUUUUGAACCUCUGCGGCUCUGCCUAGCGCAUAUCCCCUGCAUUGUUUCCCUAUUGUCUUGUGCCAUCCCCAGUUCUAGGCGUCCAUCAUCAAUGAUCUCCCCUCACUGGAUAAGAAUUUCGGUUAGUAAUCAACAGUGCAGGGGCAGGGGUGGUGUCUCCUCAAUGGGGCAAAAAAUCGGAGGUUUGAUGGCAGCUCCCUGAUGCACAGUGGCAGUGCAGCGACUCUCAGAUGCACAAGGGCGUCACGGCGACUCCCAGACGUACAGUGGUUGUGCGGCCACCCCAGAUGCACAAUGGCGGCGCGGCGACUCCCAGAUGCACAGCAGCAGAACGGCGGCUCUAUAGUGAUGAAUCUCGGGUUAUAGAAACUGGAUUGUUCCAGGCAGUGGCGACGCUACAUAAUGACUGCAAUGUCAAAUGACCACACAAGGUACAAGUUUGUCACUUGUGUUGUACUACAUUCAAGUUUAGUUUAUGUACAUAUAUUCUAAAUUUACAGCUGUGACAUCAUAACUUAUGACACUAAAAACUACUCCCUCUGAUCCGAAACAAGUGUCACAGUUUUGCACUAUGGCUAGUUCAACCUUAGUUUAAAACUGAGACACUUUUUAUGGAUCGGAGAGAGUAGAAGACUACUGGUGCCAUGUUGGAAUUGCUACGAGGCAGAAAAUUUUAAUUAUACUCAUGAAUAUUUUUCCUAUCUAUCAUAGGCCUCUCUUUUUUCCCACCUAAUUUGUAUUAACUCUAACUAAACAUAAGACCUUUUUUGCAGACGUCUUAUAUUUAGUUUCAGAGGUAGUACAAAAUAGCACUUUUCUUGCAUGUGAAAAGAGCCAUAAUGCUUCUGUGAGACAAGACUUUUUGUGGCUAGAUUAGGUAAAACAAUUUAUGAAAUACUGUAUGCGUGCCUUACAUUGUCUCGCUUCCUAUAAAAUAGUCAGCAAGGGGAAACUUAAUUAUGGAAUGAGCUUAGUUAGUUAAGUAAGG